rnacentral:rRNA from 1 species
GACGAACGCUGGCGGCGUGCUUAACACAUGCAAGUCGAACGGAAAGGCCCUUCGGGGUCCUCGAGUGGCGAACGGGUGAGUAACACGUGGGUGAUCUGCCCUGCACUUUGGGAUAAGCCUGGGAAACUGGGUCUAAUACCGAAUAGGACCACGCGCUUCAUGGUGUGUGGUGGAAAGCUUUUGCGGUGUGGGAUGGGCCCGCGGCCUAUCAGCUUGUUGGUGGGGUAAUGGCCUACCAAGGCGACGACGGGUAGCCGGCCUGAGAGGGUGACCGGCCACACUGGGACUGAGAUACGGCCCAGACUCCUGCGGGAGGCAGCAGUGGGGAAUAUUGCACAAUGGGCGCAAGCCUGAUGCAGCGACGCCGCGUGAGGGAUGACGGCCUUCGGGUUGUAAACCUCUUUCAAUAGGGACGAAGCGCAAGUGACGGUACCUAUAGAAGAAGCACCGGCCAACUACGUG